rnacentral:rRNA from 1 species
UAGGGAAUCUUCGGCAAUGGACGAAAGUCUGACCGAGCAACGCCGCGUGAGUGAAGAAGGUCUUCGGAUCGUAAAACUCUGUUGUUCGAGAAGAACAAGGACGUUAGUAACUGAACGUCCCCUGACGGUAUCUAACCAGAAAGCCACGUCUAACUACGUGCCAGCAGCCGCGGUAAUACGUAGGUGGCAAGCGUUGUCCGGAUUUAUUGGGCGUAAAGGGAGCGCAGGCGGUUUCUUAAGUCUGAUGUGAAAGCCACCGGCUCAACCGGGGAGGGUCAUUGGAAACUGGGAGACUUGAGUGCAGAAGAGGAGAGUGGAAUUCCAUGUGUAGCGGUGAAAUGCGUAGAUAUAUGGAAGAACACCAGUGGCGAAGGCAGCUGUCUGGUCUGUAACUGACGCUGAGGCUCGAAAGCGUGGGGAGCAAACAGG